rnacentral:rRNA from 1 species
CGGACGGGUGAGUAACACGUGGAUAACCUACCUAUAAGACUGGGAUAACUUCGGGAAACCGGAGCUAAUACCGGAUAAUAUUUUGAACCGCAUGGUUCAAAAGUGAAAGACGGUCUUGCUGUCACUUAUAGAUGGAUCCGCGCUGCAUUAGCUAGUUGGUAAGGUAACGGCUUACCAAGGCAACGAUGCAUAGCCGACCUGAGGAGGGUGAUCGGCCACACUGGAACUGAGACACGGUCCAGACUCCGUACGGGGAGGCAGCAGGG